rnacentral:rRNA from 1 species
UUCGGUGCAGGAUGAGCCCGCGGCCUAUCAGCUUGUUGGUGGGGUAAUGGGCUACCAAGGCGACGACGGGUAGCCGGCCUGAGAGGGUGAUCGGCCACACUGGGACUGAGACACGGCCCAGACUCCUACGGGAGGCAGCAGUGGGGAAUAUUGCACAAUGGGCGAAAGCCUGAUGCAGCGACGCCGCGUGGGGGAUGACGGUCUUCGGAUUGUAAACCCCUUUCAGUAGGGACGAAGCGCAAGUGACGGUACCUGCAGAAGAAGCACCGGCCAACUACGUGCCAGCAGCCGCGGUAAUACGUAGGGUGCGAGCGUUGUCCGGAAUUACUGGGCGUAAAGAGCUCGUAGGCGGUUUGUCGCGUCGUCCGUGAAAACUCGGAGCUUAACUCCGAGCUUGCGGGCGAUACGGGCAGACUUGAGUACUACAGGGGAGACUGGAAUUCCUGGUGUAGCGGUGAAAUGCGCAGAUAUCAGGAGGAACACCGGUGGCGAAGGCGGGUCUCUGGGUAGUAACUGACGCUGAGGAGCGAAAGCAUGGGUAGCGAACAGGAUUAGAUAUCCUGGUAGUCCAUGCCGUAAACGGUGGGCGCU